AGUGGGGGACAACGUUUCGAAAGGAACGCUAAUACCGCAUACGUCCUACGGGAGAAAGCAGGGGACCUUCGGGCCUUGCGCUAUCAGAUGAGCCUAGGUCGGAUUAGCUAGUUGGUGAGGUAAUGGCUCACCAAGGCGACGAUCCGUAACUGGUCUGAGAGGAUGAUCAGUCACACUGGAACUGAGACACGGUCCAGACUCCUACGGGAGGCAGCAGUGGGGAAUAUUGGACAAUGGGCGAAAGCCUGAUCCAGCCAUGCCGCGUGUGUGAAGAAGGUCUUCGGAUUGUAAAGCACUUUAAGUUGGGAGGAAGGGUUGUACGCUAAUACCGUGCAAUUUUGACGU
rnacentral:rRNA from 1 species